UGUUUUAUCAGUCCGACAGCCCACACACUCGCACACAUUCAAACAUCUGGCAAUUGUUUCUUUAAGUGUUUUAUUUUCUGCACGAUUUUACAGAGCAGCAAAAGCGGCAGCAACAGUGAUUGAUUAAAAGUUCACGCACACACUUACACAUACACAUGUAUACCCUGUUGAUAAGCCCCAUCUCACUCUUUUAACACAUAUUGCGUUGCAGUUUACUUGCCAUAAAGGUGUAAAAAUUACACAGAGCAAGAGAGAGAAAGCCAGUGAGAGGGCUGACUAACCUUAUCGCAGCUUAUCUGUGUGAAGGCAUAGACGCGAUUAUGACCGCAGCAGAAGCAAUUGGUCGCAAACGUUAGCGGACAGCGGCGUCAUUGACACGAAGACGACGACGACGACGGCGACGGCGACAAGAAAAGUAAUUUGUCCAAAAUGGUAAAUGGCAGCACACGGCCAGUGAGAGCAUUUGUGUUCGUGUGCGCAACACAUUGAACGAAAGAACGAACCAAGACCAGAAGAACAGAACAACCAGAAGAUAAUGUUGAGCGAGCAGAACGCGCGGUGUGACGCGACGCCGAAGCCGACGCCGGCGACGACGUCGACGUCGCUGUCUCGGCAAGAAAGCAAGAGUAGCAAAUGUGAUUGUGUGAGAGCGAGAAGGAGAUACGACGGCCACAGCGAGUGCAACUGCAACUGCGACGGAGACAUGCGCAGCCAGCAAGAAAAACAAUAAGAAACAGGAGCGCAACAAGCAACAACAACACAUUAACAGAACGUACAAUAAUGUCUGCCCAAGUGGCAACACAUGAUUUUGCAUGGUCAGGCACACACACUGCACACACGUGUGUGAGUACAUACAUACGUAAAUGCAUAUGCACUUAUACAAACAUACAUACAUAUAAGGGUAAUGUUAAGUUUAAAAUUUAUUCAAAUUUAAAGACUGAACCAUUAACAAACUUAUAUUAAAUAGCAAAAUACAAAAAAAAAAAAAUGUAUUUUCCUAGAAUUUGCCACAACAAAUCCUCUUGCUACAAGGGGGAAAAGUGCAGCAGUAGCAGCAACAGCGUUGGCGGCAGCGGCUUAUGGCCCGCCCACGCACAGCCCCCGCCGACGGCAUUUGCUUGUUGGUUUUUGUGCACAGAGAACGUGCCCGUGUUUUGCUCUUUUCUUUAUAUUCUAUUUACCUUUAAUACAUAAACAGCUCAGAAUGUGUAAACACGUACGAGAAACGUAUGUGUGUGCAUAUGUUGGUAUUGGUAGCGACGGCUCCACAACACAUAUACGGGUACACUAUAGUGCAGAGCAGCAAAGCACACAUACAAACACGUUAAAGACACGAGCAGACCUUUUCUUCUGUUUCUUGCUUGUUUAAUAUUUUGAUAUGUAUUUGCCGUUUUAUUUUUAAAUCGUACAUAUACACAU